rnacentral:rRNA from 1 species
CGUGAGAUGUUGGGUUAAGUCCCGCAACGAGCGCAACCCUCGACCUUAGUUGCCAGCAUUCAGUUGGGCACUCUAAGGUGACUGCCGGCUAAAAGUCGGAGGAAGGUGGGGAUGACGUCAAAUCAUCAUGCCCCUUAUGACCUGGGCUACACACGUGCUACAAUGGGCGGUACAAAGGGUCGCGAACCCGCGAGGGGGAGCCAAUCCCAAAAAGCCGCUCUCAGUUCGGAUUGCAGGCUGCAACUCGCCUGCAUGAAGCCGGAAUCGCUAGUAAUCGCGGAUCAGCAUGCCGCGGUGAAUACGUUCCCGGGCCUU